rnacentral:misc_RNA from 1 species
GUUGUUACGAUCUGCUGAGGGUAAGCCGUCCUUCGCCUCGAUUUCCCCAAUGGGUUCUCCGGAUUUCUGGAGACUUGUAGGGGUUGUGGGAUUUUUGAUGUGUCGUCUCCGGACGGGCGGUGCAGGGUAGGCUGCUUGGACAUGGUCGGUUCGAGGAUCGAUUCGAGGGCCAGCCUGUCGAUGAUGUGUGAUGUAUGCGGUCUAGGGUAGGCUGGUUUGUCUUGGUCCAAUUUGAUGUCGGCUCCCGUGCAGGCCAGAGUGAGGGGGUACAGGGUAGGCAGCUUAGAUUUGGUCGAUCUGGAGGUCGAUUCUCCGGCUGGCGGAUCUGACACUGUCGAAACGAGGUGCGAGCGGUGUAGGGUAGGCUAGUUUCGUCCUCGCCGGGUUGCGAUUUGGACGAGAUAUGUGGUCUAGGGUAGGCUCUAGGGUAAGUAGAAUUCGAGUUUCGUCGCCGACAGUUUUCUGUGGGUGUGUGGUAGGUACAGGGUAGGCAAAUCUCCCUCCGGCCAGUCCUUGUCUGGUGGUCGUGAGUCGAUUUUUUUGUUUUGCCAUACUAUUGAAUUUUGCGGAAAUUCAAAAGUGGCUCGGGAGUCCCGCCUGGCGUGCGUCCGGCUCGAACGUCGUCGGUGUACAUAUGAGAGGGAGUAAUCCGGCCCGGCCGGGGCCCAUCGCGAGCUGCCGGGUAGGUAAAAGUAAAAAAGUUGUUAAGAGGCGCGGUGUCGGCGUGCUUGUAUUUGCGGGAGAGAAUUAUCUGGAGGUGCUGGGUAGCCGGGAAGACUUGGACGGAUCUGGCCCGGGAAUGGGUCUGGGCCUGGAGUCUGGAGUGGUGUAGGGUAGGCGUAGAUAGAUGAGUGGUCUAGGGUAGAUACAGGGUAGCCAGAAGUCUAGUGUAUAGUAUGGGGGUGUAGGGUAGGUCUGGACACCGUUUUCCACUUCGCCCUUCCCUUUACUCGAGGGAGGACGAUCUUGGCUGGGACGGAGGUGUAGGGUAGGCUUAAUUAACGAUUACAUGAUCUGUGUCACUCUAGGGUAGGUGAAAAUCCCAUAUAUAUCUGAUCACAUUUGGUGAAGAGGUGGUUUGGCUGGUGAGAUGGACAAAAGUGCAUUGUAGAAUUAUAUGUGAUUUUGCAAAAGUGGGUGUGAAAUUGGGAAAUCGGGUUUCCCGCACAGAUAAGAGCACGUUUGAGGUGCCAUGAGAUGCACCUCUCCGAGACGACCUCAACGGUACCACCGAUGUGUUGGUCAGGCUCCUGUGCGGCCGUCCAGGGCGGGAUAAGUAGAGAAUGAGGUGGUGUAGGGUAGGUGGCCAGGUCCAGGGUAGGUUCGCCAAAUCCGUCAAUCCGGCUUGAAUCGAAGGUCAGGUCUAGGGUAGGCCGGAGUCGGGUCUAGGGUAGGCAACUCUCACCCUCGAAGUGGUCUACCCGGUAGCCAACUUCAAUCGCCUCUCACGGCCGCCACGGAUCUCGCAUGACGACGGGACUACCACCAUCGGAUUCGCCUUGGUCGAAAUAGCUGGUAUAUGCACUUUUGAAAAAAUGCGUGCAAAAUGGUUUUGUGAUUUGGUGGCCGUGAGUCGAUUUUUUUGUUUUCCCAUACAAAUGAAUUUUGCGGAAAAUAAAAAGUGGCCCACGAGGCAGUCCUGGCGUGCGGCCCACUAAAACGGUCUCGGAGGGUAUAUGAGAAGGGAGCAAAUCCGGCCGAGCCUGAAAGGGUGAGGACAAACCGGGCGAGCAACCUCUCAGUAUCAGAUCUUGCAGACUUCCACUGCGUGUCCCUCUGUACAGCUUUGCAGGCUCCGGCCUCGGCAGCGGGGGGUUCAUAGUGGUCGUCGACCUCCACGAAACUGCACGCUCCGGCGUGACAGCGUACUGGGGAUGCCUGUGUAGAUGCAGUCCGGGCUUGCCUGGACCG